GAUGAACGCUGGCGGCGUGCCUAAUACAUGCAAGUCGAGCGAACAGACGAGGAGCUUGCUCCUCUGACGUUAGCGGGGGACGGGUGAGUAACACGUGGAUAACCUACCUAUAAGACUGGGAUAACUUCGGGAAACCGGAGCUAAUACCGGAUAAUAUAUUGAACCGCAUGGUUCAAUAGUGAAAGACGGUUUUGCUGUCACUUAUAGAUGGAUCCGCGCCGCAUUAGCUAGUUGGUAAGGUAACGGCUUACCAAGGCAACGAUGCGUAGCCGACCUGAGAGGGUGAUCGGCCACACUGGAACUGAGACACGGUCCAGACUCCUACGGGAGGCAGCAGUAGGGAAUCUUCCGCAAUGGGCGAAAGCUUGACGGAGCAACGCCGCGUGAGUGAUGAAGGUCUUCGGAUCGUAAAACUCUGUUAUUAGGGAAGAACAAAUGUGUAAGUAACUAUGCACGUCUUGACGGUACCUAAUCAGAAAGCCACGGCUAACUACGUG
rnacentral:rRNA from 1 species